rnacentral:tRNA from 4 species
CGGAGUGUGGCGCAGCUUGGUAGCGCGGUUGCUUUGGGAGCAACAGGUCGUAGGUUCAAAUCCUAUCACUCCGACCA